CUGAGUUAGGGUCUUCUAGGCCCGACCUCCAACCCUUUGUCUACUUGACCUCUGUUGCUUCGGCGGACCCGUCUCGCAAGAGACCGCCGGAGGGUUCACCCCCUCUGGCCCGUUGUCCGUCGACGGCCCCCAUAAAACUCUUGAUUAAACGUGUCAUGUCUGAAGAAUAAAUUAAAUAAAAGCA
rnacentral:misc_RNA from 1 species